rnacentral:rRNA from 1 species
UACGAAGGGGGCUAGCGUUGUUCGGAAUCACUGGGCGUAAAGGGCGCGUAGGCGGCCAUAUAAGUCGGGGGUGAAAGCCUGUGGCUCAACCACAGAAUUGCCUUCGAUACUGUAUGGCUCGAGACCGGAAGAGGUAAGUGGAACUGCGAGUGUAGAGGUGAAAUUCGUAGAUAUUCGCAAGAACACCAGUGGCGAAGGCGGCUUACUGGUCCGGUUCUGACGCUGAAGCGCGAAAGCGUGGGGAGCAAACAGG